rnacentral:rRNA from 1 species
CGCUUCUUUCCUCCCGAGUGCUUGCACUCAAUUGGAAAGAGGAGUGGCGGACGGGUGAGUAACACGUGGGUAACCUACCCAUCAGAGGGGGAUAACACUUGGAAACAGGUGCUAAUACCGCAUAACAGUUUAUGCCGCAUGGCAUAAGAGUGAAAGGCGCUUUCGGGUGUCGCUGAUGGAUGGACCCGCGGUGCAUUAGCUAGUUGGUGAGGUAACGGCUCACCAAGGCCACGAUGCAUAGCCGACCUGAGAGGGUGAUCGGCCACACUGGGACUGAGACACGGCCCAGACUCCUACGGGAGGCAGCAGUAGGGAAUCUUCGGCAAUGGACGAAAGUCUGACCGAGCAACGCCGCGUGAGUGAAGAAGGUUUUCGGAUCGUAAAACUCUGUUGUUAGAGAAGAACAAGGACGUUAGUAACUGAACGUCCCCUGACGGUAUCUAACCAGAAAGCCACGGCUAACUACGUGCCAGCAGCCGCGGUAAUACGUAGGUGGCAAGCGUUGUCCGGAUUUAUUGGGCGUAAAGCGAGCGCAGGCGGUUUCUUAAGUCUGAUGUGAAAGCCCCCGGCUCAACCGGGGAGGGUCAUUGGAAACUGGGAGACUUGAGUGCAGAAGAGGAGAGUGGAAUUCCAUGUGUAGCGGUGAAAUGCGUAGAUAUAUGGAGGAACACCAGUGGCGAAGGC